rnacentral:rRNA from 1 species
CCUACGGGGCGCUGCAGUGGGGAAUAUUGGACAAUGGGCGAAAGCCUGAUCCAGCCAUGCCGCGUGUGUGAAGAAGGCCUUCGGGUUGUAAAGCACUUUCAGUGGGGAAGAAAGCCUUGGGGCUAAUACCCUCGAGGAAGGACAUCACCCACAGAAGAAGCACCGGCUAACUCCGUGCCAGCAGCCGCGGUAAUACGGAGGGUGCGAGCGUUAAUCGGAAUUACGGGGCGUAAAGCGCGCGUAGGCGGUCUGAUAAGCCGGUUGUGAAAGCCCCGGGCUCAACCUGGGAACGGCAUCCGGAACUGUCAGGCUAGAGUGCAGGAGAGGAAGGUAGAAUUCCCGGUGUAGCGGUGAAAUGCGUAGAGAUCGGGAGGAAUACCAGUGGCGAAGGCGGCCUUCUGGACUGACACUGACGCUGAGGUGCGAAAGCGUGGGUAGCAAACAGGAUUAGAUACCCUAGUAGUC